rfam:Triticum aestivum genome assembly, contig: Triticum_aestivum_CS42_TGACv1_scaffold_591858_7BS
UAAAUACUCCCUCCCUCCCAAAAUUCUUGUCUUAGAUUUGUCCAAAUAUGGAUAUAUCAAGUCACGUUUUAAUAUUAGGUACAUCCGUAUCUAGACAAAUUUAAGAUAAAAUUUUUGGAACGGAGGGAGUAUAAG